AAUCAACGCUGGCGGCGUGCCUCAGACAUGCAAGUCGAACGAGAAAGUUUCCUUCGGGAGACGAGUACAGUGGCGUCCGGGUGAGUAACACGUGGGUAAUUUACCUUUGGGUGGGGAAUAGCAGCCGGAAACGGCUAUUAAUACCGCAUAAUGCAGCGGCUCGACAUCGAGACAGUUGUUAAAGCGGGGAUCUGACAAGGACCUCGCG
rnacentral:rRNA from 1 species